AAUGUUUCAAUACAAUCGGCUAAUGCUGUGCUUAUUCGCUGAUUCAUUAGGAACUUAAUCGCUGUGAAGCUCAAUCUUCGAAUUCGAUUUCAAACAUCUGCAGGGCAGCAAAAAUUGUGCUAAAACUCACAAAUGCUAAUUGUUAUUGUUUUAAGAAUUUUGAAAUUUAAGCCAACAUUUUUUCAAAAUAAAUAAACAAGCAACGCAGCACCGACCAGCUCAAUGACAAACAAAGUCAUCGUAGUGUUGGUUUAAAACAAUCUGGUUUUUUAUUAAAAAAGCAGCCAACAAAACCGGUUGUAAAAUAUGUAUGUAUGUGCAUGCACGUACGUACAACUGUCUUGUGAAUAUUCGAAUGAUUUCAUCGGUAGAAUAAAAGUGCACAAAGAAAGCACAACAGUUUCAAUCGUAACAAGAUGAAAAAAGUCUUAAUUUCUACAAAAAACCAGACACAGUCAUCUACAUAAACACGCAACACAGAACGUCAGUUGUUUAUCAAUUUGAAGAAAGCGAAUUGAGAUCGAUUCGGAGAAUGUACCAACUGACGCGUGAUUGAACUGCCAGCCCUUCACCCCAAACGUACGUGUUGUUACACACUGAAAACUUGGAGACAUCACGAAGGCAACAGACGCUCCCUUUAUAACAGCUGAGCGAAUACCUCAGAUGAGGCGUAACUCUCAAGAAUAGAUGAAUGUCUCAUUCCCUUCGAUGCUACAAUCAGCGAUCUGAAUCUAUAAAUCAUAAGUGUAAUUCUUGGUCAUGGCAAUUUGUGCAUUGUAAAUUUCUAUUGACCGGCAUUUUUCAUAUCCCGAAAAAUAUUUUUUGAUUCUGGGAAAUACCUGGCUUAGAGACAUACACUCUGCUUGUAUCAGCAUGUCAUAUACAUAUAUUUGUGGGAUGGAAGGACACAAAACAGGAAAACCUUACCACACGAAGGCGAAAGAUUUCCGUCCUUUAGUCAGUUGUUGUUGUCGUAGCCACAUUUUCAAAUGAGGGUGGCGAUCCUCGUGAAGCUCCUGUAUGUUUGCAAGCUGAUUCCGAUCCAAUGCACCGAUCGCUGCGGGAACAAGAAGGCCAUUGAUUAUUUAAAGGCGCCAAUAAUUCGCCUUGUCAUAUCGAGCAUCAUUGGCUCCAAGUAUUUGCGCAUGGGCCGGUGCCUUUCGACCUCUCACGGAGACUCUAUGCUCGAUACCGCUGAUUGUCCGCAACUGCCGUUGCACUAUCCGCAAUCUGUGGACGCGCCCGGUAGCUCGCAGCUAAGCUUCUGGUGACAGCAAUGAACACCACACAAAUCGGACCUCAAUGUUCCAGCCUGUGUGGUGCUCAAUACUAUCGUAAGAACGUUUUUUAAUAACUUAUUUACUAAAUAGCUAUUGCCUUAAGGGGAAAGUUUCCCAGCACCCUUACAGAUAUUCUUGAGGAAGCGCAACGUACGACGGUGAAAUGGGCUAUCGUAAGUGGUCUAGGCGUAAAUCUGUCUAAAGCAGAGUAUUCUGUUCAGCUUUCGGAAUUGUUGCGUAAAACUUUAACAAAAGAUCAUCAUAUUACAGUAGGAUUAAAUGUUUUUAAGCAUUAGUUUAAAAAAGAGAGCUUUCCAUUUACUGAAAGCGCAAAAUACUUGGGUGUUUUGCUGGACAGGAAGUUGAACUUCAAAUCAAAAAUUUUGAAAAGGCCAAGAAAGGCAAUCCUUGCCAUAUACACCUAUAAGUGGGCCAUUGGAAAAAGUUGAGAGUUUAGACCUAUAAUGAUAUAUGAUGUUGUUUUCUGGGGGACGGAGCUUAUGAGAACGACACCAUCUAAUGCUGCGACCACUGCUAAGAGGCUAAGGGAGCUUUUCCUCUGAUCAUGCGGUGCCAACGGACACUGUGUUAACCUUGAAUCAAUCAAUGCCCGAUAAUUCGGUCAGUGUAAAUUGCACAUUGCCUGUGUGACUUUUUGAUAAAAAGCACGGUUACACUAUUCCUAAUAGAACCGAUUGAAAUAACAAUACCUCUCGCAAUCCCAUGGCAGUCGGUUGUACGUACCAGAUUGACCCGAUGGAAUCCUUCAUCGGCAAGGGCUGCCGCCUCGCUGCUACAACAACAACAAUAUCCCUUGUAAUAGAAUUUACAUAGAUUUCUAAACGGAUGGUUCCAAACUAGACGACCUGGUGAGUUUGGGGUGUACUUUGAAGAAAUGAACUGGUCAUAUCGAGAAAGUUAUCCGACCACUGUAGUGUGUAUCGAGCGGAAAUCAUUGGAAUUAACGAAGACUUGAAGAGGUAUACCGCUUUGCUUUAGCUGUCUAGACUUCUACAGAAGCUAUGAAGAUGUCGAGUAAGAGGGGGCUUUAGAAAAUCAGCUGUGUGCUGUGUUCAUUUCUUUGAGAACUUGUAUGCAUUCGCAAGAUGUUGGGCUUAUUAAAGCGAUCUGAAUAGAUGGAGCCCACCGUGGCGCAGAAGAUAGCAUUUCCGUCUAUGACGCUGAAUGCCUGGGUUAAAAUCCUGGCGAGCACAUCAGAAAUGCAUCUUCCUUCACCAGUUCCUGUGGUAUUACAAUAGACUAAAACGUCUAGCUGAGUCUGACGGCAAGGUGUCACUUAAAUCUAACCUUACCUACAUACGUUUGAGUGUGAUAUGCGCUUGGAUAGAAAUAUUUUUAAUUUGGUCCGUCAGUAUUAGCGUCGCAUUUACACUUUUGUAUUUGAAGUCAAGAAUAGUGUUCGCUUUACAAAAAACAAGUAUGUGUAUGGCGGGAGGAAAGGUUUAAACGAUUAUAGCCCCCUCUACAAAAGCUGAUAACUGUGAAGUGCUUGAGUGCCAUUGCAUCUGAAUUCAUGAGAUAUUGAAAAUGGCACUACAAUAAAUUUCAAAUUACUCAAUUGUUCGAGUCUUUCAUUUUGUACAUAGUACACAUGUAAAAUAAUAGUUAAGCAGCAAAUUGUUGUUGCCACAAUUUACAAAACGACAACAACAACGAAAAGUAAAAAAAUACAAAUAUUUUUUUUUUUAAUUUUGCUAAAUAAAUAGACCUAAAAACGAAGAUAGCAAACCACUACAAAUUGUCUAAGAACAAAAAGUUCGAAGAGGUCUUUUAUAUUUCAAUAAUAUUUUCUACCAAAAAUUCACAGAGUAAUAGUUAUCAAAUCCUAUGGGCAGAUGCGGAUCGUGAAAAAACGAGGCUAUUACUGAAAGGAAGUAAGAAGGAGCAAUCUACAAUCCGCAACUUGUGGACACGUCCGGUAGCUGCCAGCUCAGCUUCUCGUAAUGACGAUAAACACCACACAAAUCGGACCUUAGAGUUCUAACCUGUGUGGUUCUCAUAGUCAUUGAUUUAAGACAAAAUUCUUCAAAAGGCAUGGCGCAACUCACUCAUACACCAGUAAGGAAAGGCAAAAGUCGGGCGAAGCCAACUAUAUAAUACCCUACACCACCGAGUCAACAUACAUACUACUUUCAAUAUAUGAAACCUAUACCGACUUUAAUUUUGAAAAGCAAAAUAGAACCUUUUAAGAUUUUUUUUCGAUAAGACUUAAAUUGUCGCUACUACAGCCUGGCCUGAUUUUCAUGAAAUUUUGCACAUCUCAUGCAAAAUUGUGUAAAGAUCAGACCAAAACUGUGGCUUUUACCGUCUUAAAAGGCCAUAUUGGCUGAAAGAUAUACAUGAUAGCUGUAUCUAAAUCUGACUCCACUGCAAUGAAAUUUUGCAAUCGUUUUGGAACCUUAAAUAAAACAUGUCUUGCAAAAUUGUUUAAAGAUUGGACCAAACUGGUAGGUUCUACAGCCUUAAAAGCCAUAUUAGCUGAAUGAUAUAUAUGGAAGCUAUAUCUAAAUCUGAUCCGAUUUUAUUGAAAUUUUCACAGGUAUUGAGACGUAAAAUAAAACAUCUCGUGUUAAAUUUUGUAAAGAUCGGACGGAAAUUGUGGCUUCUACAGCCAUAAUAGGUCAAAUCGGAUGAAAGAUCUAUAUCGGAGCUGUAUCCAAAUCUUAUCCGAUUCUGAUGAAAUAUUGCACACAUAUUGGGACGUAAAAAAAAACUUCAUGCCAAAUUUGGCAAAGAUCAUACCAAAAGCGUGGCUUCAUCAGCUUUAAAAGACAUUUCGAAUGAAAGAUAUAUAUGGCAACUAUAUCUAAAUCUGAUCCGAUUUUGAUGAAAUUUUGCACAUAUAUUAGGACGCACCACAAAAAGCACUUUAUGCCAAAUUUGGUAUCGGAUCGGACGUAAAUUGUGGCUUCUACAGCCUCAAUAGGUCAAAUCGGAUGAAAGAUAUAUAUAGGAGCUAUAUCAAAAUCUGAUCCGAUUUUGAUGAAGUUUUACACACGUGUUAAGAAUUCACACGGAACAUCUCAUGCUAAAUUUUGUAAGGAUCGGACCAAAAUUGUGGAUACUAAAGUCUUAAAAGGCCACAUCGGAUGAAAUAUAUAUCUAAAUCUGGACCGAUUUUUUUCAAAAUCAAUAGCGUUGGUUCUUGGACCAUAAAAGUGAAUUGUUCAAAAUUUUAUGAAAAUCGGACAACAAAUGCGACCUGCAACUUGAUUACAAGAAUACAUGGACAGACAGACGGACAUAGCUAAUUCGAAUCAGGAAGUGAUUUUGAACCGAUCGGUACACUUGUCGAUGGUUCUAGCUCAUUGCCUUCUUAGUGUUGCAAACAAAUGCACAAAGUUAUAUUACCCUGUAACGCAGUGGUGGUGUAGGGUAUAAAAAUAUGCCCAAUGAGCUUUACACACCAGCCCGUCUACGAAAACCAGAUUUACAAAUAGACUUUAAACCAGUCAAUCAGUGUCUACCCUAAUACAUAACCAAUAUAUGACUUUGUCAACACAUGCAAUGAAAGGUUUAGUUUCUGUAGUUGAAAAUGUUGGUAUUGACUUUCGAUUUCCCCACCAAAACAAAACGAAAAACAACUCAAACGCAAACGCAAUGGGAAAAUAUUAUACAACUAUAAGAUGCAAUGAUUGUCGUGAAUGAAAUGGCUGGACUUGAACAAGGCUAUGUUGCAUUUUCAUGAGGAAUACCCAAAUACAUACAUUUAAACUAUGGCGCAACCACAGCCACAGGUGUUGUAUGCACAGUUGUAGCAAGUUUUGUUUAAUAAAUGAAUAAUUUGUUUGCAUAUUUAGGAAAUUU